AUUCUUGUGGAGACCUGAUCCCCGAUCGUGCUUACAAUGGGGAGCCCGUACGCGCCCACGGGGGGCUGAGCGCUCAGCUGUGAGCAGAGCGGCCGGGGCGGGCUCUGGCCAAACGACCUCCAAAAUCUUGGGCUGCACCCGGGGCCGUGUCUUAGGUAACAGAUCCGGCUCUGCCUGACUCGGGGGCGAUGGGACCAGACCCUUGCUCAAUCCCCAUGGCCAUCCUUACCCCUGCGCGGGAUCAGGAGCUGGAGAAGGCCCAGGAAGCUGCCCCAGCGAUCGGGGCACCCCCUGGGUCCUCACGGACCCCCACUGGAGGGCUAAAGUGAUAAGGCACUCCUGUUGUUCAAAGAAGGAACACGCAAGAAGGGGCCAGGCCUGACCUGUUUCCUCGGAGCCCGCAGGUGACUGAUGAGAUGGAAGGAAACGGCCCGCCUCUCUGCUUCUCCUCCACAAACAAAACCCCUUCUUUGAGGGACUAAAUAGCCAGUUCCUUCUGAGAAAGACCCACAGCUUCCCUUUUAGGUCUUUUGGCCCAGGGAUUUUGGGUUUUCACUUCAUUUCAUUUAGACCUUAAA